ensembl:lncRNA
CACCCCUCAACCAGUAUUCCACAAGAGCACAGACACAAGUGACAACAGACACACCGGUCUCUACAUUGCAGAUGAGCUGUCAAUGAAGGCAGUCAAUGACCUUUGACCACAGAAGGUAUUUGCACUGGUGACAGACAAUGCUGCGAACAUGAAGGCUGCUUAGACUAAAGUGGAGGAGUCCUACCCUCACAUCACACCCAUUGGCUGUGCUGCUCAUGCAUUGAAUCUGCUCCUCAAGGACAUCAAGGCACUGAAAACAAUGGAUACACUCUACAAGAGAGCCAAUGAAAUGGUUAGGUAUGUGAAGAGUCAUCAAGUUAUAGCAGCAAUCUACCUCACCAAGCAAAGUGAGAAGAAUAAGAGCACCACAAUGAAGCUGCCCAGCAACACCCGUUGGGGUGGUGGUGUCAUCAUGUUUGACAAUCUCCUGGAGGAGAAGGAGUCUCUCCAAUAAAUGGCCAUAUCACAGUCUGCCGAUAUGGACAGCCCCAUCAAGAGGAUCCUCCUGGAUGAUGUAUUUUGGGAGAGAGUGGUAAGCAGCCUGAAACUCCUGAAACCUAUAGCAGUAGCCAUUGCACGGAUUGAGGGAGACGAUGCCAUCCUGUCUGAUGUUCAGACUCUGCUAGCAGAUGUAAGAGAAGAAAUCCGUACUGCCCUGCCAACUUCACUGUUUCUCAAAGCUGAGGAAACUGCAGUUCUGAAAUAAAUUAAAAAGCGUGAAGACUUCUGCCUGAAGCCCAUACAUGCCGCAGCGUACAUGCUGGACCCCAAGUCUGUUGGCAAGAGCAGCCUGUCUGGUGCAGAGAUCAACAACGCCUACAACGACUGUCCUCAAUGUCAAUAAGACCGAGGAUCUGUUUGUGGACUACAGGAGAAAGAGGGGAAAGCACACCACCAUCCACAUCGACAGUGCUGUGGUGGAGCAGGUUGAGAGCUUCUACUGUCUUGGCGUCCACAUCCCUAUGGACUUAAAUAUGGUCCGCACAGUCGUGAAGAGGACCCCUCUUCCCCCUCAGGAGGCUGAAAAGAUUUGACAUGGGCCCUCGGAUCCUCGAAAAGUUCUACAGCUGCACCAUCGAGAGCAUCUUGACUGGCUCCAUCACCACUUGCUCUAUUAUUGAGGAUGUCCAUGUGCAGGGUAAGCUGCUUUAGAGAUAAGACCAUUGUAAGGUAAUUAACAUACUGAAUUCUCGUCCAUUUAUUACCCAUGAUUUCCUGUCAUUUCCUCAACUUGACUUUGAUCAUUUUCUUCCGUAAAGUUUAGCAGAAUGUUUUGUGCAAAGGAGACCGUACAUUAAUUCUAUAUCACAACACAUCAGGCUCAGAGCAAGAGUGUCACAUUGUGUAUUCAUACCAAUAAAGUUGAAAGUGAAGUUUCAUUUGCAUUUCCAUGGCGUCCAUUAUCGUAAGAGUCAAUAAAACUCAUGAAGGGAGAGAGUGUUUUCUGCUGUACUGACACUGGCUUAUGCAUUGGGGGCAAAUUAUCGCAUGAGUCAUUCACUUACAUUUGACAUGGUUUUCAAUUCCAUGAUUUGCAAUAAGUUUCUUUUGUGUUACAUGUGCUUGCAGCUUCAGUCAGGAAACAGCCCAUGCACGGGUUUGCAUUGGGUUUAAGCCUUAUGGGAAAGAACUGUAAAUCAUAAAGGCUUGUUCUGUGAGAACACGGCUGAAAGAGGCCUGUGUCAGGCAGUGGUUUUCCAGAUGUGUUGGACCAGUUGUGCUGCAAACACUUUGCUGAGAUGAGAUCAGUAUUUUCAGUGCUGCUGGAACACAACUUUUAAGCCUCAGAGACACCUCUCAUGCUCUUUAGAGUCAAAGCAGGUGACACCAGGCACUUCCUGCCAGACAUCUGCAGUUAACUGGCCAGUUGUAAACAACUCUUCUAAAGGACAAACUCUAACUGCCUACUGGUGGAUCCAGACAAUAUACAGUGGGGCAAAAAAGUAUUUAGUCAGCCACCAAUUGUGCAAGUGCUCCCACUUAAAAAGAUAAGAGAGACCUGUAAUUUUCAUCAUAGGGCCAAAAUACCAGCAACAGUGUGUGAAAACCUUGUGAAGACUUACAGAAAACGUUUGACCUCUGUCAUUGCCAACAAAGGGUCUAUAACAAAGUAUUGAGAUAAACUUUUGUUAUUGACCAAAUACUUAUUUUCCACCAUAAUUUGCAAAUAAAUUCAUUAAAAAUCCUACAAUGUGAUUUUCUGGAUUUUUUUCUCUCAUUUUGUCUGUCAUAGUUGAAGUGUACCUAUGAUUGAAAUUACAGGCCUCUCAUCUUUUUAAGUGGGAGAACUUGCACAAUUGGUGGCUGACAAUACUUUUUUUGCCCCACUGUAUAUGUUUAGGAAGUGAGGUUCACAAAAGCUCAUACUCUGAAAUACCAAUUUUUGAUGAUUUAUUUUAUAUUUAUAUAUAUUUCACCUUUAUUUAACUAGGUAGGCCAGUUGAGAACAAGUUCUCAUUUACAACUGCAACCUGGCCAAGAUAAAGCAAAGCAGUGCGACAAAAACAACAACACAGGGGCACACAUGGGAUACACAUGGGAUAAACAAACAUACAGUCAAUAACAAAAAAGAAAACAUCUCUAUACAGUGUGCAGUAAGGAGGUAAAGGCAAUAAAUAGGCCAAUAGUGGCAAAGUAGUUACAAUUUAGCAAUAUACACUGGAGUGAUAUAUGUGCGGAUGAGGAUGUGCAAAUUGAAAUACUGGUGUGCAAAAGAGCA